rnacentral:rRNA from 1 species
CCUACGGGAGGCAGCAGUAGGGCAUCUUCCACAAUGGGCGCAAGCCUGAUGGAGCAACACCGCGUGAGUGAAGAAGGGUUUCGGCUCGUAAAGCUCUGUUGUUGGAGAAGAACGUGCGUGAGAGUAACUGUUCACGCAGUGACGGUAUCCAACCAGAAAGUCACGGCUAACUACGUGCCAGCAGCCGCGGUAAUACGUAGGUGGCAAGCGUUAUCCGGAUUUAUUGGGCGUAAAGCGAGCGCAGGCGGUUGCUUAGGUCUGAUGUGAAAGCCUUCGGCUUAACCGAAGAAGUGCAUCGGAAACCGGGCAACUUGAGUGCAGAAGAGGACAGUGGAACUCCAUGUGUAGCGGUGGAAUGCGUAGAUAUAUGGAAGAACACCAGUGGCGAAGGCGGCUGUCUGGUCUGCAACUGACGCUGAGGCUCGAAAGCAUGGGUAGCGAACAGGAUGAGAUACCCUGGUAGUC